rnacentral:rRNA from 1 species
UACGAAGGGGGCUAGCGUUGUUCGGAAUUACUGGGCGUAAAGCGCACGUAGGCGGUUAUUCAAGUCAGAGGUGAAAGCCCGGGGCUCAACUCCGGAACUGCCUUUGAAACUAGAUAGCUUGAAUCCAGGAGAGGUGAGUGGAAUUCCGAGUGUAGAGGUGAAAUUCGUAGAUAUUCGGAAGAACACCAGUGGCGAAGGCGGCUCACUGGACUGGUAUUGACGCUGAGGUGCGAAAGCGUGGGGAGCAAACAGG